GUCUGGUUCAAAAAAUCUAAUUAUUGCCUAUACUGUGGGGCAAUGUCCAAGAAACAAAGCGUCAUGGAACACGUCAUCAACGUCACGACGCUGCCCUGUUGACGUCAACGGCAGGAGUACGUACCACUGCGUCCCUAAUCAGCAGACGACAGCGUUGUUAGAAUUCUGCUACAACAGACAGAUCGGACUUUAUCAAAGUGGGACCUGUUUAUACCUCACAAAUUCUGGCUAUCUUAACCAAGUAUGGUGCACAGACUUCAUCCAUGGUUGUCCCGAAAAACCAUAUUUCAGCAGUGAAAUAUACAAAUAUCAGGAAUGUUUGGCCAUUGACAAACAAAGGCGUUGCUACGAAGCAGUGGAGUCAUGUCGGAAUAAAACAAGAAAUAGCACAGAUGUGUCUUUCUCUAUACCUUUUACACCAUCAUCCUAUAUACCGAUCUUACUAGGUG